GACCGCUCCGGUCGUUUAGAGGUUAGAGCGUCUGCUUCAGAUGCGGGAGGUCGCGUGUUCAAACCCUGGCCUUGGUCU